rnacentral:snoRNA from 1 species
ACGACCUUACUUGAACAGGAUAUAUUCUAUAGGGUUGUACUACUGUGUCCUUGAUUUCUAAGGAGAUGGGAACAAAAAUUAGGAAACCGUUAAGCUCUUCUGAAG